UACGGAGGGGACUAGCGUUGUUCGGAAUUACUGGGCGUAAAGCGCACGUAGGCGGAUUUGUAAGUCAGGGGUGAAAUCCCGGGGCUCAACCUCGGAACUGCCUUUGAUACUGCAAAUCUCGAGUCCGGAAGAGGUGAGUGGAAUUCCUAGUGUAGCGGUGGAAUGCGCAGAUAUCAGGAGGAACACCAAUAGCGAAGGCAGCUCGCUGGGACGUUACUGACACUGAGGCGCGAAAGCGUGGGGAGCGAACAGG
rnacentral:rRNA from 1 species